rnacentral:ncRNA from 1 species
UUAAAUACAAUGAUGAGAAGUAGUAAAUUAUUUGAUGUCUUACAGAGAGAGGGAAUUGGUGUAAGCCCUUAGAAUAAAAUAGUUGAAGCAGUCUUUGAGUAUCAAUCUUGAAAUAAUAGUAUGGAUUGACGGUAGUUACGUUAUAGCUAAGGUUUUCCGAAGAUAUCGUGUUUUUCAUGAUAAUUAGGGUGGUACCGCGAAUAUAAUCCUCGCCCCUAUA